GACGAACGCUGGCGGCGUGCUUAACACAUGCAAGUCGAACGGAAAGGCCCCUUUGGGGGUCCUCGAGUGGCGCACGGGUGAGUAACACGUGAGUAACCUGCCCUUGACUUCGGGAUAACUUCAGGAAACUGGGGCUAAUACCGGAUAGGAAUCCUUGCUGCAUGGUGGGGGUUGGAAAGCUUCGGCGGUUUUGGAUGGACUCGCGGCUUAUCAGCUUGUUGGUGGGGUAGUGGCUUACCAAGGCUUUGACGGGUAGCCGGCCUGAGAGGGCGACCGGCCACAUUGGGACUGAGAUACGGCCCAGACUCCUACGGGAGGCAGCAGUGGGGAAUAUUGCACAAUGGGCGGAAGCCUGAUGCAGCAACGCCGCGUGCGGGAUGACGGCCUUCGGGUUGGAAACCGCUUUCAGCAGGGGCGAAGCUUGUGGUGACGGUACCUGCAGAAGAAGCACCGGCUAACUACGUG
rnacentral:rRNA from 1 species